UAUAGCAAGCGAUCUGAGAAUACAGGUCCACCUCGGAGAAAUAAUCUCACUAAAAUUUAUAUUAACUACCCAGGAGAACUCUUGUUACCAAAAUGCAUUCAAGAACAUGCAAAGAUAGUAACUCUUUGACUUCGAAUUCGAAUCCCCUCACCAUUUCAAGGAACAUCAGUACCCUCCACAGAAAGACAUCUAAUCGGACGAGGUUCGCUUACACCUAAUCAUUACAUUAACACAGCAGCAAUAAGUUCAUCAGUGUUGGUUCGACAAGGUGAAGUUUCGAAUUUGGAGAACCUGAUAAAUCAUAUGUACUCUUUAGUUCCAUGCACAUCCAGGAACAGCAUUUGGGCAAUAUUUACUCUUCCACCUUCUUGCUUUCUGCUUCACUCUUUACACAAUCUCCGGUACCUUGGGUAAGUAGGUGGCUCUUAUAAAGUAUGUCCAAUUCGCGGAAAUAGGGGCAUGAUCUGUAGUUUCUUAGACAUGCCUUCCCACUGUCAAUUGUCCUUUUAUAGUACUUGUUAAUGUUCUCCCAUUUUUCUUUACACUUUUUCGGAGUCCGGAUGUAACCCUUCUUUGCCAAUCCAUCGGCUACUUCUUCCCACACAGAUCCUUUAGCCCCUUUAAGAAACUUGUGAUCUAAAGCAAUUCGAAUUGAUACAAGGUCUUGCACUUCAGAUUUUGGCCAUCUCCUAUUACAGGGAUCAGAUCUAACAUCAGCUUCUUGACCAUGAACUUCAUUAAAAAACUUGUGAUCUAAAGCAAUUCGAAUUGAUACAAGGUCUUGCACUUCAGAUUUUGGCCAUCUCCUAUUACAUGGAUCAGAUUUAACAUCAGCUUCUUGACCAUGAACUUCACCUUCAUCUUUAACUCGGCUUGACAUUUCUGAUGAUUCUGGAAUCUGGAACUCAUCACCCAACAUAUUCUCGAGGAAAGAAAUAAGGGCCAUGUUUCUAGAUGUCUCUUCAGCUCUAACCUCCUCGUCCCGCUUUGCCCUUUCUAUCUCUUGCUGCUUCCAACCUUCUUCCCGUAUGAUUCUCGCAUGUUCCUUCUUCUCUAUCAUCUCUAUUAAUUGUUUGUGCAUCUGCUCUUGCUUGUCCAUCAGCCUCUUUACCACAUCUUCAAGAUAUAAUUUAAGACUCUUCCGUGUUUCCCUCUUCCUAUUUAAUCGUUCUUCAAUUGUCUCUGAUGAUUCGCUGUCAUCUGAAGAUGAGCU
rnacentral:lncRNA from 1 species